AAUUUCCAGUAUUCUGGUCCUUAAUUAGGACUGUUAGUUUCAUUGAUUGAUCGAAAUAUGCAUUCCAAACUGACUAAAAAUGCAAUCUUUGAAGCUGACAACUCACUUGAAGUCUCUCUUAGAGAAGCUGAAAAGCUUCUGGAGCCCCAACUCAGACCCCCUUUUCCUUUAAAACUUCAAACUCAAGAAGAGUACUUCAACCUGAACAAAGCAAUUCUUUGUGGAAUUUUAUGUGAACCCCAAAUGGCCAGAGUCCACAUUAAGCACUUACAUGCUAUUGUCACUGAUGGCUACACUUAUUUUAUAUCCAUGCUUAUCAAGAUUGUUAAUGAGUUGUAUGCCAAACUCGUUGAUUCGGUGAAAACUCAGUUGAUUUGGGUGACGCGUGAAAUGGUGAAUGUGUUGGGAGUAGGAUUUGAUGGUUUAUUGGUGGCCCUUUUGAGGCAAAUUGUUGGUGGUGACUUUAGCGAAGGAAAUUUGUGGUUGUGUUUUGAGAUGAUUAGUCUCUUUAGGGACAAAUGGGAUUGUUUGUUGGAGGAUGAACCUCUAGUUUUGACCAGUGCUUUAUAUGUGUUUCUUCGUUUAUUGGCUGAUCAUUGUAGGUUGCCAAAUGACUCAAAAGUUGAAACCUUGAAGAGGUUUGAAAUUGAUUUUUGCAUUAGGAUGUUAAGGGAGAAAUUUGGUUUGUGUUUGAAGAUUGGAAGAGAUCUUGUUCGGAUUUUACAGGACUUGGUUCAUGUACCUGAGUUUCGCUCAAUUUGGAAAGACUUGUUAUUGAACCCUAGUGUGUUUCAGAAUGCUGCAUUUUUAGAUAUCUCACAGCUCUACCUUUCAAGGACUUCCAGUAGGUAUUUUCUGCUGCGGAUAACUCCUGAGAUGGAGAACCAGUUGAGGUUCUUGCUAACGCAUGUUAAAUUGGGAAAUCAAAAGAGGUACCAAGUUUGGUUUGCAAAGAAGUUUCUUGGUGUCCCUGAGAGGGAGACUCUUCUAACUGACAUUGUUAGGUUUAUUUGCUGCGGACAUCAUCCACCUAAUGAGAUUAUCCAGUCAGACAUCAUCCCGAGGUGGGCUGUCAUAGGCUGGUUGCUAAAAUCUUCCCAGAGGAAUUAUGUCGAAGCAAAUGUUAAGCUUGCCUUAUUCUAUGAUUGGCUUUUCUUUGAUGAGAAGGUAGAUAAUAUAAUGAACAUUGAGCCUGGGAUAUUGCUAAUGAUACAUUCCAUUCCUAGUUAUGUUGACAUAACUCAUACUCUUCUAGAAUUUCUCUUGAUGCUGGUGGAAAACUAUGACAUUGAAAGAAAAGAUGUAAUUGUCAAAGGGAUAUCUUCAGCUUUCACUUUUCUUGUUCGAAAAGGUGUGGUUCGAUCUCUUGAUGCUUUGACUUGUUCUGAUGUGAUCUCUCCUUUUCUCAAGCAAUUGUUUGGAAAAAUCUUCAAAGACAUGUUAGCAAGCCUUUCUGAGAGGGCAGUUGCCAAGUCUUCCUCUUAAACCAAUUUCUGCCCCACCUAAGGCUGCCUUGAACCUACAAUUUUAGUGGUUGGAUGGUCUCCCCUCUACUAGUCCACUAAUGUCCUUUUGUGGUCAAAACUUUGUUUUGGGCUUAUGUCCGGGACAACCAUCUGCUGAUUCUGACACAGUAAUGAUCAUUGCAAAGGUUUCUCCUUGGAGCUAGUGAGGUUUGUGCAAAUCCAUACACCUCUCAAUUGAAUAUUUUAAGGGAAUGGACUCUAGAUAUGCUGGAGAAAUGCUAAGGCAUUUGGAUAAGCAGAAUGAGCUCCUUGCUGAUGCCCACAGGUCAAUGCUGCAUGAACUGCAUAAACUCCAGGUAGAGGAAGAAAUGCUGAUGCGCAAGUUCUAUGAGUUCAUGUCAGCUCAAGGCCUCACUAGAAGGAAUGAAGAUGGUAAUGACAUGCAAAGAGAUUGCAAUAACGGUCAUGGCAAAACACUUGUUCAAGUGAUUGCUGACAAAUAGAAAGUUUCAUAAUUGGCGAGUUGGUAUGGGACAAGCGUGCGUGUGACAGUACAUGGGAAUUGGGAAAGCUCUCUUAAGGGCUAAAAGAAAGAUUUUGGAAUUUGGGGUUGAUUGCCCCUGGUCCCAUUAUUGGCUCCGCCACGGCGUGAUGGAGGAACUUGCCCCAACUUCACCACCUUUUCUUUUGUUUUCGGAAGAUUAAUGUGUCUUUUGUGAUUGUGCACUUGUUUAAGCUUAAAUCAAAGUAACAGCCGAAGACGUGUCUGGUUUUUCAUUGUUAUUGUAUCGGUAAAUUUAGGGGUGGGCACGAAUUGGAUACUCGCAUUGUGCAUCAUUUGGUUGAUUCGUCUUAUACUUCGCGCAUUAGUCAUUUUCUAUCCUUGGAUCCUUAUAUAUUAGCAGGUAUUCGGUUAUUAGAUUAGAUACCUACUAAUAGAGGGUUGGAUCACCGGUUAUUCGUUU